GACGAACGCUGGCGGCGUGGAUUAGGCAUGCAAGUCGAACGGUAUCAUCCUUCGGGGUGAGAGAGUGGCGAACUGGUGAGUAACACGUAGGUUAUCUACCCUCAAGACGGGGACAACCCAGGGAAACUUGGGGCUAAUACCGGAUGUGAGCAACUUUUAGUUGUUUGAAAGGUGGCGUAAGCUGUCGCUUGGGGAUGAGCCUGCGUCCUAUUAGUUAGUUGGUGAGGUAACGGCUCACCUAGGCAAUGAUAGGUAGGCGGCCUUAACGGGUGGUCGCCCACACUGGGAUUGAGAUACGGCCCAGACUCCUACGGGAGGCAGCAGUCGAGAAUAGUCUACAAUGGUCGGAAGACUGAUAGUGCGACGCCGCGUGAACGAUGAAUCCCUUCGGGGUGUAAAGUUCUUUUAUAUGUGAGCAGUGCUUCUUAUAUUAACAGUAUGGGGAGAGAGAUAUUAGCAUAUGAAUAAGCAACGGCUAACUCCGUG
rnacentral:rRNA from 1 species